GAUGAAGAACGUAGUGAAAUGCGAUAAGUAAUGUGAAUUGCAGAAUUCAGUGAAUCAUCGAAUCUUUGAACGCACAUUGCGCCCCCUGGUAUUCCGGGGGGCAUGCCUGUUCGAGCGUCAUUUCACCACUCAAGCCUCGCUUGGUAUUGGGCAACGCGGUCCGCCGCGUGCCUCAAAUCGACCGGCUGGGUCUUCUGUCCCCUAAGCGUUGUGGAAACUAUUCGCUAAAGGGUGUUCGGGAGGCUACGCCGUAAAACAACCCCAUUUCUAAGGUUGACCUCGGAUCAGGUAGGGAUACCCGCUGAACUUAAGCAUAUCCAAUAAGCGGAGGA
rnacentral:misc_RNA from 1 species